rnacentral:RNase_P_RNA from 1 species
UGAGUAAUCCAAAUAGUCGCAGAUGCAAUCCGAAAGGAUGUAUAUGAGGAAAGUCCGGGCAUCAUAGGGCAGGGUGCCGGGUAGCUCCCGGUGGAGGCGACUCUAAGGAAAGUGCAACAGAAAAGAACCGCCGUAUUUUUACGGUAAGGAUGAAAAGGCGAGGUAAGAGCUCACCAUGGGUUGGGAAAUCAACCUGAUGUGUAAACCCCAUCUGAUGCAACACCGUGUAAAGAAAGAAAUAUAUUUGCCCGAUAUCUUUCGAUAGAGGUGGCUUGAACCGCAUAGAGAUGUGCGGUCUAGAUAGAUGACUAUUUAAAACAGAACCCGGCUUACAGGAUUACUCAUUUU